rnacentral:rRNA from 1 species
CUGGGAGGACCAUCUCCUAAGGCUAAAUACUCUCUAGUGACCGAUAGUGAACCAGUACCGUGAGGGAAAGGUGAAAAGCACCCCGGAAGGGGAGUGAAAUAGAACCUGAAACCGUGUGCUUACAAGUAGUCAGAGCCCGUUAAUGGGUGAUGGCGUGCCUUUUGUAGAAUGAACCGGCGAGUUACGAUUUGAUGCAAGGUUAAGCAGUAAAUGUGGAGCCGUAGCGAAAGCGAGUCUGAAUAGGGCGUUUAGUAUUUGGUCGUAGACCCGAAACCAGGUGAUCUACCCUUGGUCAGGUUGAAGUUCAGGUAACACUGAAUGGAGGACCGAACCGACUUACGUUGAAAAGUGAGCGGAUGAACUGAGGGUAGCGGAGAAAUUCCAAUCGAACCUGGAGAUAGCUGGUUCUCUCCGAAAUAGCUUUAGGGCUAGCCUCAAGUGAUGAUUAUUGGAGGUAGAGCACUGUUUGGACGAGGGGCCCCUCUCGGGUUACCGAAUUCAGACAAACUCCGAAUGCCAAUUAAUUUAACUUGGGAGUCAGAACAUGGGUGAUAAGGUCCGUGUUCGAAAGGGAAACAGCCCAGACCACCAGCUAAGGUCCCAAAAUAUAUGUUAAGUGGAAAAGGAUGUGGCGUUGCCCAGACAACUAGGAUGUUGGCUUAGAAGCAGCCAUCAUUUAAAGAGUGCGUAAUAGCUCACUAGUCGAGUGACACUGCGCCGAAAAUGUACCGGGGCUAAACAUAUUACCGAAGCUGUGGAUUGUCCUUUGGACAAUGGUAGGAGAGCGUUCUAAGGGCGUUGAAGCAUGAUCGUAAGGACAUGUGGAGCGCUUAGAAGUGAGAAUGCCGGUGUGAGUAGCGAAAGACGGGUGAGAAUCCCGUCCACCGAUUGACUAAGGU